GGGGCAAGAAACGAACAUUUACGAUGGAAGGCAGGCAGCAUUUGGAAAAUUGUGAUAAAUAAAAUCCACAUCACAGUUCACAGUUCACAGUUCACAGACACACAAAAUUUCCCAAGCCGGCGCCAAUUUGAAUGAAUCCCCGGAUAAGGUUUUACUUUUCCUUCCUUCUUCCCCAAAUCCUCCUCUCCCAACAAACUCUGAAAUAAAACCCUAAUAAUGGCCACACUCCAAGCUUCCCUCCUCUCCAAACCUUCCCUCCCAUUCCCAUUCCCAUUCCUCUCUCCCAACCACUCUCCAUUCUCCCUCGCCUUCCCCCCCACGCGCCGCGUCCCCUCCACGCUCCUCUGCUGCACCUUUCGCCCCGACAGCGUCGCCUCCGAACCCAAUCACAACCCCUCCGAGCCCGAGCCUGAGCCCGAACCAAGUACCGAACCGGACCCCAGCGCGGGUGUAAAUUCGACGGAAGAAGGUGCAGUCGCGGUUUUGGAUUCUCCGAGCGAGGCGAGUUUGGAAAGGGUGGAGACUGCGCUGCGGAGUGAAGCGGAUUUGGAGAGCGAAGGGAAGAUUGCGAGUGGAAGGUUUUCGUUAGUGGUGUUCUUUGUGGGACUGUGGGUGAAGGCUAGGGAGCGUGUGAAGAAGGCUUUCGCGGAGUUUCUUGAUUGGUGGCCGUUUUGGCGUCAGGAGAAGCGCCUUGAGCGGUUGAUCGUCGACGCCGACGCGAAUCCGCAAGAUGCUGCCAAACAGAGUGCUCUGUUUGUUGAGCUCAAUAAGCACAGUCCUGAAUCUGUCAUCAAGCGGUUUGAACAAAGGGAUCGAGCUGUGGACAGUAAAGGCGUUGCUGAAUAUCUUCGAGCUCUUGUGGUCACUAAUGCUAUUAGUGAAUAUCUUCCAGAUGAGGAGUCUGGAAAAGCUUCCAGCCUUCCUACCCUGUUGCAAGAGUUGAAGCAGCGUGCAUUGGGUAACUCAGAUGAGACUUUUCUUAGCCCUGGGAUAUCUGAGAAGCAGCCAUUACACGUGGUUAUGGUUGAUCCAAAAGUAUCAAAUAAAUCACGUUUUGCACAAGAACUUAUCUCAACUAUUUUGUUUACUGUAGCUGUGGGGUUGGUCUGGUUUAUGGGUGCUGCUGCACUUCAAAAAUACAUAGGAAGCUUGGGUGGCAUUGGACCUUCAGGAGUUGGGUCAAGUUCUUCCUAUGCCCCAAAGGAGUUAAAUAAGGAAGUGAUGCCAGAAAAGAAUGUAAAAACUUUUAAGGAUGUCAAAGGUUGUGACGAUGCAAAGCAAGAACUUGAGGAAGUUGUGGAGUACCUAAAAAAUCCAUCAAAGUUUACACGCCUUGGAGGAAAGUUGCCAAAGGGGAUUCUUUUGACAGGAGCACCUGGAACUGGAAAAACUCUGCUAGCUAAGGCUAUCGCUGGAGAAGCUGGUGUUCCGUUUUUCUAUCGAGCAGGCUCUGAAUUUGAGGAGAUGUUUGUGGGAGUUGGUGCUCGACGUGUAAGAUCCUUAUUUCAAGCAGCCAAAAAGAAGGCUCCUUGUAUCAUUUUCAUUGAUGAAAUUGAUGCUGUUGGAUCAACAAGAAAACAAUGGGAGGGCCAUACAAAGAAGACAUUACAUCAGCUACUUGUUGAAAUGGAUGGGUUUGAGCAGAAUGAGGGAAUAAUAUUAAUGGCUGCAACAAACUUGCCUGAUAUUCUUGAUCCAGCUUUAACAAGGCCUGGCAGAUUUGAUCGGCAUAUUGUUGUACCAAAUCCAGAUGUACGUGGCCGGCAAGAAAUAUUGGAGCUCUAUCUGCAAGAUAAACCUAUAGCUGAUGAUGUAGAUAUUAAAGCAAUAGCUCGCGGUACCCCAGGGUUCAAUGGGGCAGAUCUUGCAAACUUGGUAAACGUUGCUGCCAUUAAAGCUGCAGUAGAAGGUGCGGAAAAAGUAACAGCUACACAGUUGGAGUUUGCAAAAGACAGAAUAAUUAUGGGUACUGAGCGGAAAACAAUGUUUAUAUCUGAAGAUUCAAAGAAGCUUACUGCUUAUCAUGAGAGCGGCCAUGCAAUUGUUGCCCUUAACACUGAAGGUGCACAUCCAAUACACAAGGCAACAAUCAUGCCACGUGGAUCUGCUUUAGGAAUGGUCACUCAGCUUCCCUCAAGUGAUGAGACAUCAAUAAGUAAGAAACAGUUGUUAGCUCGCCUUGAUGUUUGUAUGGGAGGAAGGGUUGCAGAAGAGCUUAUCUUUGGUCGUGAUUAUGUCACAACUGGAGCAAGUAGUGAUCUCCACACUGCUACUGAGCUUGCCCAAUACAUGGUAUCAAAUUGUGGGAUGAGUGAUGCAAUUGGGCCAGUUCAUAUAAAAGAGCGACCAAGUUCUGAAAUGCAGUCACGUAUUGAUGCAGAGGUUGUGAAACUCCUUCGAGAGGCAUAUGAUCGUGUGAAGGCCCUUUUGAAGAAGCAUGAGAAGGCAUUACAUGUGCUAGCAAAUGCACUUUUAGAGUAUGAGACGCUUAGUGCAGAAGAAAUCAGGAGAAUACUUCUCCCAUAUCGGGAAGGAAGGGUGCCAGAACAACAGGAACAAGAAGCAGCAGAAGGGGAUCUUGUAUUGGUGUAAUUUUUCUCUCCACUUCUUGUCCAUUACUGUACUAAUUUUAGGGGAAGCUCUGUACAGUACACCUAGAAGCGCUACAGGAAAAAAGAUAUACAACGAUGGAUAUCUGCGAAGCAACUUUUCCUGCUUACAAUGGCAAAGGUCAGCUAUUAGAGUACAAUCGCCCUUGCUGAGGCCCGAGGGCAAUAUUUUUUGGUGAGAACUAUGUAUUAUGUAGGAAUUGGACAUUUUGACAAUUGUGUUUGAUAGCCUAUGCAUUCAUAUUUUUUUUAAGAAUUUCUUCAAGAAUCCAGUGACCUGUGUCUAGUGGAAUACGUUGUAAGACCCUACAAGCCUGGCCACUGAUGACUGCAACUUUGCGUAAGCUGUGUAGCAUAUACUGCAUGAGUUUAAUUAACAGCAAUAUCAAAUAAUAGUUGGAAGUGUUACGAA